CUGUGUGGUCACCUGGAGUCACCUGUUAAAGCCUGGAGUCACCUAUUAAAGCCUGGAGUUACCUAUUAAAGCCCUUCCCUUCCCGGAAAAAAGGGUGUGUUGUCUUUGCGAGGCAGGGCACCUAGAACCUACGAGGAUUAUCACCAUACAAAGACGCCUUAUGAAUUAAAAGGUGUGUGGGACUGGCGUGGUAAGAUCGCUAGUCUCUAUGUGUGGUAGAAGUUCAAAUCUUUCAAAAGGGAAGUUCAAAUGUUCAACGCAGGACAAGUGAGGUGAGAUUCCACUUGCUCAAAGACGCUCUUUUGAAGAGAUUUAAGGUUCCUUCUGUGAGUGUGGUGCAAUCGUCGUGUUCUUAUAAGUGAUAAAAGUCCUCGCCUAAGACAACUGCAACCACAUGCUCAACGCAUUCCACGGUCACGAGAAAGUGCAAGGAGAGGGGACGAAAAGGGAAGAAGAAGAGAUGGCGGAAAAGAAAAAUAGGUGAGUUGAGUGCAGCGUGAUGGUGCACACGUAAGAAGAGUGAAACAGUAAGUAAACAAAAACAAACACAAUUUACGAAAGAGAAGGAAAUACCACGAUACUUCAGAAUCGAUAGAAUGAGAGAGAGAGAGAGAGAGAGAGAGAGAGAGAGAGAGAGAGAGAGAGAGAGCGAGAGA